rnacentral:lncRNA from 1 species
UUCCAAGGAUGGAUGGGUGUUGCAUUCUCAGUUCCAAGUCUCCGGUAACAAAAGUGGAAGAGAACAAACUAGAUUGAGGAGGCAAGCAGCCCAGCCAAGGAACAUAGAGGGGUGAAGGGAGCCAUUUUCACUCUCCUACAUCUGGAAAUCACACCCUACCAGAUUUCUCAACCUUGUCUUUUUUAUGGAAGGCUCAGCACUUAGGGACUCUUAGAAAUGGAAGCAAUCCGAAAUGAUUAUUGACGUGAAAGGGUGGUCCAUGAACAGCAGCAUCCACACUGCCUGCAAGCCCAUUGGUAAUGCAGAAUCUCAGCUUCGAGGCAGCAUCACAUCGAAAAAUCCCCCUGGAUUAGU